rnacentral:rRNA from 1 species
ACUUCGGUGUGAGUAAAGCGGCGGACGGGUGAGUAACGCGUAGGAAUCUACCUAGUAGUGGGGGACAACUCGGGGAAACUCGAGCUAAUACCGCAUACGCCCUACGGGGGAAAGCGGGGGACCUUCGGGCCUCGUGCUAUUAGAUGAGCCUGCGUUGGAUUAGCUAGUUGGUGGGGUAAAGGCCUACCAAGGCGACGAUCCAUAGCUGGUCUGAGAGGAUGAUCAGCCACACCGGGACUGAGACACGGCCCGGACUCCUACGGGAGGCAGCAGUGGGGAAUAUUGCGCAAUGGGCGAAAGCCUGACGCAGCCAUGCCGCGUGUGUGAAGAAGGCCUUCGGGUUGUAAAGCACUUUCAAUUGGGAGGAAAGGUUCACGGUUAAUAACCGUGAGCUGUGACGUUACCUUUAGAAGAAGCACCGGCUAACUCCGUGCCAGCAGCCGCGGUAAUACGGAGGGUGCGAGCGUUAAUCGGAAUUACUGGGCGUAAAGCGCGCGUAGGUGGUCUGUUAAGUCGGAUGUGAAAGCCCCGGGCUCAACCUGGGAACUGCAUCCGAUACUGGCAAACUAGAGUGCGGGAGAGGGAGGUAGAAUUCCAUGUGUAGCGGUGAAAUGCGUAGAUAUGUGGAGGAAUACCAGUGGCGAAGGCGGCCUCCUGGCUCGACACUGACACUGAGGCGCGAAAGCGUGGGGAGCAAACAGGAUUAGAUACCCUGGUAGUCCACGCCGUAAACGAUGUCUACUAGCUGUAGGGGUACUUGAGACCUUUGUAGCGCAGCUAACGCAAUAAGUAGACCGCCUGGGGGAGUACGGCCGCAAGGUUAAAACUCAAAUGAAUUGACGGGGGGCCCGCACAAGCAGUGGAACCAUGGUGGUUUAAUUCGAUGCAACGCGAAAGAACCUUACCAGGCCUUGACAUCCUCGGAACUUUCUAGAAGUUAGAUUGGGUGCCUUCGGGGAACCGAAGUGACAGGGUGC